UACGUAGGGAGCAAGCGUUGUCCGGAAUUACUGGGCGUAAAGGGCGCGUAGGCGGGGAUUUAAGUUAGAUGUGAAAACACCGGGCUCAACUUGGUGACUGCAUUUAAAACUGGAUUUCUUGAGGGCAGGAGAGGAAAGUGGAAUUCCUAGUGUAGCGGUGAAAUGCGUAGAUAUUAGGAGGAACAUCAGUGGCGAAGGCGACUUUCUGGGCUGUACCUGACGUUGAUGCGCGAAAGCGUGGGGAGCAAACGGGAUUAGAUACCCCGGUAGUCCACGCUGUAAACGAUGAAUACUAGGUGUAGGGGGUAUCGACCCCUUCUGUGCCGCAGCUAACGCAACAAGUAUUCCGCCUGGGGACUACGGUCGCAAGACUAAA
rnacentral:rRNA from 1 species